GACGAACGCUGGCGGCGUGCUUAACACAUGCAAGUCGAACGGAAAGGCCCUGCUUUUGUGGGGUGCUCGAGUGGCGAACGGGUGAGUAACACGUGAGUAACCUGCCCUUGACUUUGGGAUAACUUCAGGAAACUGGGGCUAAUACCGGAUAGGAGCUCCUGCUGCAUGGUGGGGGUUGGAAAGUUUCGGCGGUUGGGGAUGGACUCGCGGCUUAUCAGCUUGUUGGUGGGGUAGUGGCCUACCAAGGCUUUGACGGGUAGCCGGCCUGAGAGGGUGACCGGCCACAUUGGGACUGAGAUACGGCUCAGACUCCUACGGGAGGCAGCAGUGGGGAAUAUUGCACAAUGGGCGGAAGCCUGAUGCAGCAACGCCGCGUGCGGGAUGACGGCCUUCGGGUUGUAAACCGCUUUCGCCUGUGACGAAGCGUGAGUGACGGUAAUGGGUAAAGAAGCACCGGCUAACUACGUG
rnacentral:rRNA from 1 species